AGACAGCAGCCGCCGCGGUAAUACGAAGGGGGCUAGCGUUACUCGGAAUUACUGGGCGUAAAGGGCGCGUAGGCGGCACGAUUAGUCAGGCGUGAAAUUCCUGGGCUCAACCUGGGGACUGCGCUUGAUACGGUCGAGCUAGAGGAUGGAAGAGGGUUGUGGAAUUCCCAGUGUAGAGGUGAAAUUCGUAGAUAUUGGGAAGAACACCGGUGGCGAAGGCGGCAACCUGGUCCAUUACUGACGCUGAGGCGCGACAGCGUGGGGAGCAAACAGGAUUAGAUACCCCCGUAGUCCCUGUCUCUUAUAC
rnacentral:rRNA from 1 species